rnacentral:rRNA from 1 species
UACGAAGGGGGCUAGCGUUGUUCGGAAUUACUGGGCGUAAAGCGCACGUAGGCGGGUCGUUAAGUCAGGGGUGAAAUCCCAGAGCUCAACUCUGGAACUGCCUUUGAUACUGGCGACCUAGAGUCCGGAAGAGGUUAGUGGAAUUCCCAGUGUAGAGGUGAAAUUCGUAGAUAUCAGGAAGAACACCCGUGGCGAAGGCGGCUCUCUGGUACGUGACUGACGCUGAGACGCGAAAGCGUGGGGAGCAAACGGG